UAAGCGAGUGAUGAAUUUGAGGCUCAACCUCAAACUGUUCUCGAACUGGCAAACUAGAGUAUGUGAGGGGUACCUGGAAUUCCUAGUGUAGGAGUGAAAUCCGUAGAUAUUAGGAGGAACACCAAUGGCGAAGGCAGGGUACUGGCAUAUUACUGACGCUAAGGCACGAAAGCGUGGGGAGCGAACCGGAUUAGAUACCCGGGUAGUCCACGCCGUAAACGACGGAUGCUG
rnacentral:rRNA from 1 species